UCUGGUGCUUCUAGCGAUGGGGAAACACCUGAUCCCUUUCCGAACUCAGCAGUUAAGCCCAUCAGCGCUGAUGAUAGUCCUUCGGGGCGAAAGUAAGCCAGUGCCAGUU
rnacentral:rRNA from 1 species